rnacentral:sRNA from 1 species
AUGGCCAUCUCAAAUUUAAUCCGUUAAAAAUUUGCUCGUAGAUUGCUUGGAAA